rnacentral:rRNA from 1 species
CAAGAGCGUAUAUUAAAGUUGUUGCAGUUAAAAGCUCGUAGUUGGAUUUCUGGUACAAUGCGCCUGGCCCGCGACCGUUAGGUCUGUGAGUGCCGGUGCGCGUUUGCCAUCCUUCUAGAAAACGUUUCUACCCUUCACUGGGCCGGAUUCGCGAUCUAGAUCUUUUACUUUGAAAAAUUAGAGUGUUUAAAGCAGGCGAUCGCUUGAAUACAUUAGCAUGGAAUAAUAGAAUAGGACUUUGGUUCUAUUUUGUUGGUUUCUAGGACCGAAGUAAUGAUUAAUAGGGACAGUUGGGGGCAUUAGUAUUUAAUUGUCAGAGGUGAAAUUCUUGGAUUUAUGAAAGACUAACUACUGCGAAAGCAUUUGCCAAGGAUGUUUUCAUUAAUCAAGAACGAAAGUUAGGGGAUCGAAGACGAUCAGAU